UACGGAGGGUGCGAGCGUUGUCCGGAAUCACUGGGCGUAAAGGCGCGUAGGCGGCCUGAUAAGUAGGGGGUGAAAUCCUGCGGCUUAACCGCAGGGCUGCCUUCUAAACUGUCAGGCUGGAGCACAGUAGAGGCAGGUGGAAUUCCCGGUGUAGCGGUGGAAUGCGUAGAGAUCGGGAAGAACAUCAGUGGCGAAGGCGGCCUGCUGGGCUGUUGCUGACGCUGAGGCGCGACAGCGUGGGGAGCAAACAGGG
rnacentral:rRNA from 1 species